rnacentral:lncRNA from 1 species
GAACCCUGCUGAGCCCGAUUCUGGAACAGAUCAGGACAGGAAGAGCUUUCAAAGAGUUUCUGUUUCAAUAUUAUUUUCAUUGCUAGGAAACUGAGGCUGAGAAAGGGGUAGGAACUGGCUCAGGGUCUGUGGUGGGAGUGGGAUUUGAAUGCUGUCUGACCUUGAAACCUGUGUUAGUAUGAAUCCUCCCAGAAGCAGGCACCAAGUUAGGAUGAGAUCAGCAGAGAUUUAUUGGGGAUGCACCUAUGCAGGUUAAGAGAGGGGUCAGGAGUGAUCAGGGAGAGCCUUCAGACUGCCAUGUGAAAGGGGAGAGGGGGAAGGAAGGAAGGUAGGGCAGGAGGAGUCCGCGACACAGCACAGCUCUAGGAACUUUUGGCCGGAUCAGUUGGGAGUCUCUGGUGGACUGUUGACUGUUAGAGGAUUCCCUUGUCCUGCAGGAACAGGUGGCACUAGUGCCCUGGCAUGCUCAGUUCUGGCUGGGAGCAGCCUAUAGGAAGUGUGGCCUCAGUGCCCAGGCUGGAGUGCAGUGGUGCAAUCAUGGCUUACCACAGCCUUGACCUCCUGGGCUCAAUUGAUCCUUCCACCUCAGCAUCUCAGGUAGCUGGGACCACAGGCAUGUGUAACCAUGCCCAGCUAAUCUUUUAUUUCUUAUAGAAGGUCUUGUUGUGUUACCCAGGCUGGACUCAAACUCCUGGGCUCAAGCAAUCCACCCUCCUUGGCAUCCCAAAGUUCUGGGAUUACAGAUGUGAGCCACCGGGCCCGACCAGUUGGUUGUAUUUCUAUUGGAUAGUGCUGGUAUAACACAGGUUUUCUCAGCCUCAGCACUGUUGACAUUUGGGGCUGAAUCAUUCUUUGUGUUGAGGGUGACUUAAUUUAGGGCUUCACUAGCUCUCAACUGAGCAAUUUUCAUGGCCUAGUUUUGAUCCUCGAUUCUUGCCUUUCACUCUUUCAACCCAUCUGUCCAUGAAGCCAGUUUUAAUUUCAAUUUUGAAAAAAUGUUUAUGAAAACUAGAUUAGGGUAUCAUAUUUUUACAUUAUUCAGCAAUGAUGUUUAAGCAAGCAGAGAAGUCACACAAAGUUCUAAAAUAACUUUAUGUUCGACUUUAGAAUGCAUUGCAAUGAAACCUCACCAAUGAAGGAACUGAAUGAGGGAAAUGAACUAAGUUAGUCUAAACAUGAAAAGGUUCCUUUUUGAAUAGAUUUCAUUUUUUGAGCAGCAGAACUGAGCAGAAAUUACAGAGUUCCUAUAUGCCCCUCACUCCCACACUCUUCUCCUAUCACAACCUGCACAAGAGUAGUACAUUUAUUACAACUGCUGAACCCCACAGUGACACAUCAUUUUCACACAUAAAUUGAAGUUUGUAAUUUACAUUAGGGUUCACUCUUGACGGAUCUGAACUAAUGCAUAAUGAUGUGUAUUCACCAUUACAGUACCACACAGAAUACAUACACUGUGCUACAAAUCCUCUGUGCUUUGCCUAUUCAUUCCUCUCUCCCCUCAGAUCCUGGCAAACACUACACUUUUUACCGUCUCCAUAGUUUUACCUUUUCCAGAACAUAAUUCGGGAUUUUAUAGUAUACAGCCUUUUCAGAUUGGCUUCUUUCACUUAGUAACACACAUUUAAGGUUCUUCCAUGUCUUUUCAUGGGUUGAUAUAGCUCAUUUCUUUUUGGUGCUGAAUAACAGUCCAUUGGCUGGGUAUAGUACAGAGAUUAUUUAUACAUUCAUCUGCUGAAGGACAUCUUGGUUGCUUCCAAGUUUUGGCAAUUAUGAAAAAAGCUUCCAUACACAUCUGUAUGCAGGUUUUUGUGUGAACAUGUUUUCUACUCACUUGGGCAAAUUCCAAGGAGCAUAAUUGCUGGAUCAUACAGUAAGAAUAUGUAAGAAGUUGCCAAACAAUCUUCCAAAGUACCAUUUUGUAUUCCCACCGGCAGUGAAUGAGAGUUCCUGUUGCUCCCCAUCUUCCCCAGCUUUGGUGUUGUCAGUGUUUUGGAUUUCAGCCACUGUAACAGUCAUGUAAUAGUACGUCACUGCUGUUUUAAUUUGCAUUUUCCUAACGACACAUAAUGUGGAGCACAGUUAUCUUUUGAAAACGUAGAGCUGAUCAUGUUAUUUCUUGCCUCAAGGAGCUAUAACGACUUCUCCCUGUCUAUAGAAUAAAAUUCAGACUCCUUAGAAAUGCUCCCAAGAUUAUGCAUCUCACAUUCUGGCCCCAUUUUACUCAUCUACAACCUCACCUCAUCUUGCAACAUCUCUGGUACUUCUAUCCUCUAAUCAUCUGCAUCUGCAGCUUCAGAACACAUCAGCUUCUAUAUUGUUGCUCCUGCUCUGCUCUACUUACUGUCUUGUGCACACAUGGUUACCUGACAAGGACCUAAUCACCUUUCAACAUUCAGCUCCAAUAUCAACUAUUCCACAAAGCUU